ACUCCUUCCUUCUUUUCAGGCUUCUGAUAGGAGGACUGUAGUGGAGCUGGGGUGAGGCUAGGGAAUUAGAGUGGGGCUGGGUGGGGGAAGAAAGUUGUUCCAAAUAUUAACUGGUCUUGUGAGGUGGCCUCUUGGCGGGAGCCUGACCACCUAACUUCCUGUUUUUCCUCCAGCUGCCUCCUCCCCUCCCUCUGCUCUAGGCUGGAACUAAGCUGAGGAAGGAAGGAGGAGCAGCAAAUUUGGCUGGAGUUGCUUGUCUGAUUCCCUGCAGGCUGGGGGCCAAGACAUUCUCCCUCAACAAGCAGGGGGGAGCACAUAUAGUCCCGGGUCGGGUUGUUGCGUCUCUGCACUUGCUCCUCUGUCCACAGCAGGAACAAGAGGCUCCUGGAAAACCCCAGCUCCUUGCCAGCUCUUCCAUGAGCACAUCCUGGUCCUGGUGCCUAAGAUCUCUCCAUGCAGGAGCAGCCGGGAACUCCAGAGGCGGUGGCAACGCCAGCCACACCACCCGCUCCACCGCCUCCUGCCCUGCCACCCAGCCAGCUGCUGGUCCCAUCACUGCCAGUGUUUGUGGACCACGCAAAACAGCCAAGCAAGGAGCUCAUUAAGCCCAAAGCAAUUUUAGGACGGCCAGUAGAAAGACCCACAGAGGCUGCUGCUGCUGCUGCUGCUGCUGCUGCUGCUGCUGCUGCUGAGUGCCCGGGACUGGGCGACAGGGGAUUUGGAGUCAAGAACCAUCACUGUCAGAUUGCUGUAACCAGUGGGGACCUUACAGAUCACAUAGAAGAGUCCAUCAUCCCACUGAUGCCACAGAGAGGAAAGAAUGUGUUCAAGAUCACACAGAAAAUGAAUUCCAGCAUCACAACUAGAACACUUUACAAAUAUUCACUGAUUUCAUUCUUACAACAACCUUUUAAGGUA
rnacentral:lncRNA from 1 species